rnacentral:rRNA from 1 species
GACGAAGGAUGCAAGCGUUAUCCGGAUUCAUUGGGUUUAAAGGGAGCGUAGGCGGCCUUAUAAGUCAGUGGUGAAAUCUUUGGGCUUAACCCAAAAAUUGCCAUUGAUACUGUAGGGCUUGAGUACAGUUGCUGUGGGCGGAAUAUGACAUGGUAGUGGUGAAAUACAUAGAGAUGUCAUAGAACACCGAUUGCGAAGGCAGCUCACAAAACUGUAACUGACGCUGAGGCUCGAAAGUGCGGGGAUCAAACAGG